rnacentral:rRNA from 1 species
UACGUAGGGUGCGAGCGUUGUCCGGAAUUAUUGGGCGUAAAGAGCUCGUAGGCGGUCUGUCGCGUCGGUCGUGAAAACUUGGGGCUUAACCCUGAGCUUGCGGUCGAUACGGGCAUGACUGGAGUUCGGUAGGGGAGACUGGAAUUCCUGGUGUAGCGGCGAAAUGCGCAGAUAUCAGGAGGAACACCGGUGGCGAAGGCGGGUCUCUGGGCCGAUACUGACGCUGAGGAGCGAAAGCGUGGGGAGCGAACAGG